CCUACGGGAGGCAGCAGUCGGGAAUAUUGGACAAUGGAGGAAACUCUGAUCCAGCAAUGCCGCGUGUGUGAUGAAGGCCUUAGGGUUGUAAAGCACUUUCAACGGUGAAGAUGAUGACGGUAGCCGUAGAAGAAGCCCCGGCUAACUUCGUGCCAGCAGCCGCGGUAAUACGAAGGGGGCGAGCGUUGUUCGGAAUUAUUGGGCGUAAAGGGCGCGCAGGCGGUUUGGAUAGUUAGACGUGAAAGCCCUGGGCUUAACCUAGGAACUGCGUUUAAUACUGCCAAACUAGAGAACUAGAGAGGAUAGCGGAACUCCCAGUGUAGAGGUGAAAUUCGUAGAUAUUGGGAAGAACAUCAGUGGCGAAAGCGGCUGUCUGGCUAGUUUCUGACGCUGAGGCGCGAAAGCGUGGGGAGCAAACAGGAUUAGAUACCCUGGUAGUCCACGCCGUAAACGAUGUGUGCUAGAUGUUGGAAGGUUACCUUGCAGUGUCGCAGCUAACGCGUUAAGCACACCGCCUGGGAAGUACGGUCGCAAGAUUAAAACUCAAAGGAAUUGACGG
rnacentral:rRNA from 1 species